CCUACGGGAGGCUGCAGUGGGGAAUAUUGGGCAAUGGGCGCAAGCCUGACCCAGCAACGCCGCGUGAAGGAAGAAGGCUUUCGGGUUGUAAACUUCUUUUCUCAGGGACGAAGAAAGUGACGGUACCUGAGGAAUAAGCCACGGCUAACUACGUGCCAGCAGCCGCGGUAAUACGUAGGUGGCAAGCGUUAUCCGGAUUUACUGGGUGUAAAGGGCGUGUAGGCGGGAAAGCAAGUCAGAUGUGAAAACCACGGGCUCAACCUGUGGCCUGCAUUUGAAACUGUUUUUCUUGAGUACUGGAGAGGCAGACGGAAUUCCUAGUGUAGCGGUGAAAUGCGUAGAGAUUAGGAGGAACACCAGUGGCGAAGGCGGUCUGCUGGACAGCAACUGACGUUGAUGCCCGAAAGCGUGGGGAGCAAACAGGAUUAGAUACCCUAGUAGUC
rnacentral:rRNA from 1 species